UCCAAAGAAUGAGGUCAGCUGACUACCUGAAUAUACUGAAUGAGCAGGUUAUUCCAUCUUCCCUGAUGGCAUGGCUAAAUUCCAAGGUGGCAAUGCAGGAUUCAUGGGUCUCAGAUUGUGAAAAAGUGAUUCAGGGAACAGGAGACAUUUUCACACAUGGAUUGGCCACCACAGAGUCCAGACCUGAACCCUAUUGAGAAACUUUGGG